CGAGAAAAACAAGAAGAAGGAAAAAGCAGAAUGCCUCACCCCCUUUUGAAUUUUUUCAUUAAUGGAAGAAGAAAAAUCAUGUCAACUAAACAACAUCGAUGAUCAAGGAGAAGGAGAACGGGAUGAUGGAAAGAGGAGGGGCAAGUGAUGAUUAUCAUCUUCCUGAGGAAGUGAUGAUUUAAACUUGAAAAGUAUUCUGACGAGAUUACCAGUCCGGAGUCUAGCAGUUUGCAGUUUCGUCACUAAGUACUGGUACAAUUCAAUCUUUAAAAACUCAACAUUUUCUUUGAUUCACAAUAUUCAGAACAAAAAUAAAGAAUUUCUAGUCUUAAAUCUGGUUAAUUUAGCCAGAGGAGUUCACUUUUUCAGUUUAUUAGGGCAAGAAAAUGGGGAGGGUAUAUUAGAAUGAAAAUUCUCUUAGAUAUGAUGUUCCCACAUAUAUAUGAAAUUGUAGGUUUCUGCAAUGGCUUAGCUUCUUUGAAGCUAGCCAUGGCACCUAAUUCUAGUAGUGGUGUAAUAAGUGUCCUUAAUCACAACAGGGGUGAAGCACUUGUCCUCCCUUAUGUUUGUCCUACUGGGGGAUACAUCUUUUUGUGUCAUGGUUUUGGUUUGGAUCAUCAUAACAAGCGUACAAGGCUGUAGCUUUUUUUUUGCUUCAGAAGCCAGCGACGAGUUUCUUUGCAUGGUCAUUACAAUUGGAUUUAUCUCAUGGAGAGCGUUAAGGAUUAGUACUGCUGAUAUCUCACCACCACCGAGUUCUCCUCCAUUUCCUAGUCGAAUGGGUACUAGAGUUUCAAGAACGAUAUGUAGGCCAGACGCCUUUUGUGGGGGUCAUCUUUUUUGGAGGACAAUGAACAAAGUUGGUAAUAAUGAUGAGAAGAUUGAAAUGUUGCUCUCAUUCGGCCUCCACACCGAAGAGAUUCACUUCAUUCAGCUCCCGACUGAAUGUACUCUGAUGACAACACCGACGACUGAGCGUCACUAUUGGCAGAUGAUCAUCUUUUGGAGUUUAAAAGGAUACCCUUGUAUUGCACAUUCUGAGAGGAUGACAACAAGAUCCAACAAUAUGGAUCAUCGUGGCCAUCGUUGUAAUCAUCAGACUGGUGUUUGUUGAUGUUGUUACGAGGUUCAUAUGUACAUAUUGAAGGACAAGACAAGCAAGUAUGGUCCGGGGACGAAACUUUCGAUGUUCAGGUUAUGGAUCAGGAAGAUUUACUACCAACUUCCCUCUGUUGCUUAAUAAAAGAAAGAACUCCUCUCUAUUCGUUCUUAAACACUUCUGCUGCUACGCCUCCUACACGUAUAUUGACUCUCUCCAAUCAGGUAUUAUUGUAUUGGUUCAAUGGGGAACGUCUUAUAUUCUAUAAUUUGCAAGAGAAACGUCUCUAGGUGGUGGAACGCUCCCGCUCCUAUCGUCGUAUUUUUCAAACCAAGAUGAAUAAAAACCUAGAGCGCGGAAUUGGUGAUGAUGAUAAUAUUUAGUGCCCCGUCCAUGAAUUAUCAGCUGCACGCUCAGGUGGAGAACAUUGUUUCUCUGGAAACCUUCAUUCCUAAAGAAGCUAAAACUAGUGUAUGUGGUAGUGCUGAUGAGCUGAGGCACCUUGUCAGUAACAACCUAGUGACAGGAUGGCUGGCUUCGAGAAAAAUACCACACACAGCUUAUGCUUUCACUUAAUUUGUUUGUCCUUUUUCAGUUUUCUGUUCAGACUACUAAUGUUCAUUGCAGUGUUGUUUAUCUGUUUAUUUAUUUCCUAAAGAUCCAUGCAUGAAACUGAAUAGACAUUUGCAAUUGCUAAUAUUCUCACACAGGUUUAUGAUUCUAUUCACAUUGAUUAGUUAUUUGGAUGAAAGCAAUCACUAUUGCAGAAUAUAUGGAAUGUGAUUUGUAGUCCUAAGGAACUGUUGAUGUCUCAGUUGCUUUCACGUCUUACUUUGGUUGUACCUUGCCUAUUCGAGGGUGUGAUGCUGUGCACUGUUGAGAUACAUAACUUUAGCUGUCAAUAGUUUGUUAUGUAAGUUUAUAGCAGUUAUCAUGAUUAUUAGAUGACAGUUCUGUUUGUACAUAUUGUUGGGACUUGAAUUCUCAAUAACCAUCUAUGUUCUGUCACAAAACACUAAUCUUCAAUCAGUUAUACAGUGCUGCUUUUUGUAAAGGUUCAAUGCUUUCGUGGUUCUUCUGGUUUGUUUGCUUGGUACGGCUUACUUUAUGCUUCAGCAGGACCAGUAAGAAUAUGUGGUUACUGCAUCCUCGUCUAUUUGGUAUCGAGCUUUUGAAACACUCCAGUUUCCUAGUGACUCAGCACACACUAAAGGCCACCACCUCUUUGUGGAAGCAACCACCUCCUCCUUGCCAGUAUGGAGAACCACACUCGUUAGACAGAUGUGUGCACCAUCACCUUGUCUCCACAUACUGGUUUAAAUAUGCAUUUCAAAAUUCUACUUUGUGACCCAAAUCUGGUUGCUUUUGUGUUGCACUACUGCGAUUGCCUGGCGCACCCUACCAAAACUAAAGAAAAACAUUGCUAUUAUGCUGCUGUGGUGCGGCUAUUAAAAACUGCAAUACCAGAAAAACAUUUGUUGUUCUGGUAUUGCUUUUUGUAUCCAAGUUUGACUGAUUUUGUUUCAGGAAAUAAUAUGGAGACUGAAAAAAGAUGAUGUAUAUUCUUUUUACCUGAGUGCUUGUUUGUUAUGGUCUAUUUGGAAGGCAAGAAAUAAACUUCACUUUGAGAAGAUCGUCCCUCAUAUUCCAGCAGUGAUCAACGAUGCUUACUCCUGGUUCUCCUUCUAUUUCUUCGCUGAAGAGGACAUUGAUAUUCCUGAUCAACAAGCUCCAGAGAUCACUGCCAUUUCCACUUCUUCUCAAGGCUGGUUUGCUCCUCCUGAAGGUAUCGUCUAGCUGAAUGUGGAUGCAGCUGUGGGUUUAAAUAAUCAUGCCGGUAACUUUCUUGCUGCCACUUCUGCUACAAUCCCCUACAAAACUAUCCCAUUGGUGGCAGAAUCUAUGAGUUUCCUGGCAGGUCCUGAACUUGCUCAACGUCUACAGCUGCAACGUAUUAUCAUUGAAGGAGACAGUCUCAUGUACUGAAUGGCGUUUCUUCUUUCACUCCUUGGAGGAUUCGUUGCUUGGUGGAACAGAUCAAAAGUCUUGCAAUUGCAAAUCAUUUCAUCUCAACAGUGUUCAGAUUCGUGAAGAGAGGAGCUGAUGAAGCAGCUCACAAUCUCGCUUCAUAUGCUUUAGAGCAUAAUGUCCAACAGGAAUGGACAUCUUCUCAACUCCCUUCUUGUAUUUCAAUUUUUGUCUCCUACUUGUAUCAUUUUCUUUGCUUUAAAUGAAUAUGAUAUAUACCUUUUUUUUGGUUUAUCUUGCAUAUUUUCUUUGUAUCCCGAGAGGACAACUCUUUAUUUUUGUAUUUGUAUCCAAAUUGCAUUAUCGACUUCUACAG